rnacentral:rRNA from 1 species
GAUGGNGCUUGCACUAUCACUUAGCGGCGGACGGGUGAGUAAUGCUUAGGAAUCUGCCUAUUAGUGGGGGACAACAUUUCGAAAGGAAUGCUAAUACCGCAUACGUCCUACGGGAGAAAGCAGGGGAUCUUCGGACCUUGCGCUAAUAGAUGAGCCUAAGUCGGAUUAGCUAGUUGGUGGGGUAAAGGCCUACCAAGGCGACGAUCUGUAGCGGGUCUGAGAGGAUGAUCCGCCACACUGGGACUGAGACACGGCCCAGACUCCUACGGGAGGCAGCAGUGGGGAAUAUUGGACAAUGGGCGCAAGCCUGAUCCAGCCAUGCCGCGUGUGUGAAGAAGGCCUUAUGGUUGUAAAGCACUUUAAGCGAGGAGGAGGCUACUUUAGUUAAUACCUAGAGAUAGUGGACGUUACUCGCAGAAUAAGCACCGGCU